AACCCCCGCCGUAGUUGCCAGCGGUUCGGCCGGGCGACUCUAACGGGACUGCCCGCGAAAGCGGGAGGAAGGAGGGGACGACGUCUGGUCAGCAUGGCCUUACGGCCUGGGCGACACACGUGCUACAAUGCCCACUACAAAGCGAUGCCACCCGGCAACGGGGAGCUAAUCGCAAAAAGGUGGGCCCAGUUCGGAUUGGGGUCUGCAACCCGACCCCAUGAAGCCGGAAUCGCUAGUAAUCGCGGAUCAGCCAUGCCGCGGUGAAUACGUUCCCGGGCCUU
rnacentral:rRNA from 1 species